GACGUGGCGGAACGGCAGACGCGCUAGACUUAGGAUCUAGUGCCGCAAGGCGUAAGGGUUCAAGUCCCUUCGUCC
rnacentral:tRNA from 1 species